UACGUAGGGGGCUAGCGUUGUCCGGAAUCAUUGGGCGUAAAGAGCGUGUAGGCGGUCCGGUAAGUCCGCUGUGAAAGUCGGGGGCUCAACCCUCGAAUGCCGGUGGAUACUGUCGGGCUAGAGUGCGGAAGAGGGAAGCGGAAUUCCCGGUGUAGUGGUGAAAUGCGUAGAUAUCGGGAGGAACACCAGUGGCGAAGGCGGCUUUCUGGUCUGCUCUUGACGCUGAGGCGCGAAAGCUAGGGUAGCAAACGGG
rnacentral:rRNA from 1 species